rnacentral:rRNA from 1 species
UACAGAGGGUGCUAGCGUUGUUCGGAAUCAUUGGGCGUAAAGGGCGUGUAGGCGGUUUGCUAAGUCAUGUGUGAAAUCCCUCGGCUUAACCGGGGAACGACGCAUGAAACUGGCAAGCUAGAGUACCAAAGAGGGGGGUGGAAUUCCCGGGUGUAGCGGUGAAAUGCGUAGAUAAUCGGGAGGAACACCUGUGGCGAAGGCGGCCCCC